AAUUUUGUCCUACAAAAUAAAAUUAGGACAACACACCCACUCCUCUCUAUCAGACUCCACUCUCAAUACAAUUAGGGCAACACGCCCACUUUCUCUGAUAGACUCCCACUCUCAAUGCUCUUUAACAAUGUGAGUUUUUUUACUUCAAUACAAAAAAUUGGGCGUGAAUCUAGGGUUAAUGUCUGAAAAAUAGAAGAAAACUUUCGAAAUUGCAAGAUUUUUGCUGCAGAACUCUGAAAUUCGAAGUCGUGUGUUGCUGCUCUGCAAGAUUCUCAGGCGAAAGGGUAAGCUUCUUUGUGAUUUCAUUCCUGAAGUAAAACUUGAAUCUUUUCCCAUUUCUGAUGAACCCAUUUUCACAUAAUCACCUAAAAUCCAACAAUAUGAAAAAACCAAACAGUAGAAAGCUUUUUGUGGGUCAAAUAGUGAUGGGGCCUAAAGAGGAUCUUGGGUACUUGGAUUUGGAAUUUCAGUUCAGCAUUUGUGAAUUUUGGCAAGGGACCGAGUCCACAUCUGAGGAUGCUGAUAAUAAAUAUGGAACCUUCUUCUAAAUCUUGCUAACACACGCUCCAAAUAAUACAAUACAAAAUAGUAUUUUGACAUUAAAUUUAUGUUGAAUUUUACUUUUGUAAGAGGAAAUUUGGAAUUCUGGUUUCUUAGAAGGUUUCAAGUUUGACGAGCGCCAAUCAAGAUUUAGAAUUUAGAAAAUGUCUAAACCUUGACUGCUUUAUUUUUUAAAAAUAUAUUUUGGACAAAGAGGACAACGUUAAUUCACUCGGGGAUGGAAAAAGAAAAAGGGGAAGACUUUAUGUUGCUGUUGCUAAUUUGUAGAACUAAGUUUAAGAAAAUUUUGUAUUUUUCUAUUAUGUUCAUCCAGAUGUUUUUACAUUUUAUCUCCUUACAUAUAUGGAAAAAAGGAUCAUAUUAAAAGUACAAAACCUGUUAUAUAUAUUGCAACUCCAUUUUUAUUUUAGUGAAUCUUGAUGAGAUGGGCAUCACCCUUUUUUUAGGGUAAGGAGCCUUGAAAUUGGAGGGUACUUUUUUCAUAACAAUUAUUGGAGCCUGUAUUUUUUUGGAUAAACAGGCUAGCAUAUGGUAUUGUAUGUAUUAUAAGGUUUAAUAAAAAAAUUGUAUGUAUCCUAAGGUAUCAGUUUAUUUUCUUUAUCUUGUUGAUCUACAUGAAAUUGUUAGCUAUGUUAAGCUUCCUAGUUAACAUCGUUAAUUAAGUGGUUCUAUGAACUUCUUAAUUUUUCAAAGAGGUUUGACUAUAUCAUGUAUACUUUUCCUUGCAAGCAGAUCAGUUUGACCUUGAACAUAUCAGCAGAUUUACAAUCAUUGUUCACGUGGAAUACUAAGUAGGUUUUCUGUCUACCUUAAUUGCAUAAUAACUUGAAUUUCACUCUUUAAUCCCUAUUACUUGGGUCUGAUUUUCUUCUAUGUGAGUACAUAUGAAUGUCUGGAUCUCUGGGUGUGUAUACAUCUUAUGUUCCACUAAUCUAAUCUCUAGGACAUAAUAUAGGUACACUUAUCAUCCAUGGUCUAAUAUCAUUGAAGUUUGCUAGAGUGUAGAGGAGAGGUGGUCAUAUGGAUGUUGAUGCCACAACUAACACUAUGAAUUUUAGGACAUGAAAAUUGAAAACAGAAUGUAAUACAGAAAUUUACUAGGCUAUUAGUUACCUAUAGCAAUAUCAGAUAGUAACUUCUAUGCCUUCUUGUACAACUUGAUGAAGUUUGCCCAAUAGUUAAUUAUUGAAAUAGAACAAUUUUAUGCAUUAUACAACUUCACAACAGAAAUCUCAUAAUUUUUC
rnacentral:lncRNA from 1 species